UGGGCGGGACGGUGAGUAUGUCUGGGAAACUGCCCGAUGGGAGGGGAUAACUACUGGAAACGGUAGCUAAUACCGCAUAACGUCGCAAGACCAAAGAGGGGGACCUUCGGGCCUCUUGCCAUCGGAUGUGCCCAGAUGGGAUUAGCUAGUAGGUGGGGUAACGGCUCACCUAGGCGACGAUCCCUAGCUGGUCUGAGAGGAUGACCAGCCACACUGGAACUGAGACACGGUCCAG
rnacentral:rRNA from 1 species